rnacentral:rRNA from 1 species
CCUACGGGAGGCAGCAGUGAGGAAUAUUGGUCAAUGGACGAGAGUCCGAACCAGCCAAGUAGCGUGAAGGAUGACUGCCCUAUGGGUUGUACACUUCUUUUAUAAAGGAAUACAACGAGGCACGUGUGCCUUUUUGCAUGUACUUUAUGAAUAAGGAUCGGCUAACGCCGUGCCAGCAGCCGCGGUAAUACGGAGGAUCCGAGCGUUAUCCGGAUUUAUUGGGUUUAAAGGGAGCGUAGAUGGGUUGUUAAGUCAGUUGUGAAAGUUUGCGGCUCAACCGUAAAAUUGCAAUUGAUACUGGCAGUCUUGAGUACAGUUGAGGUAGGCGGAAUUCGUGGUGUAGCGGUGAAAUGCUUAGAUAUCACGAAGAACCCCGAUUGCGAAGGCAGCUUACUAAACUGUGACUGACAUUGAUGCUCGAAAGUGUGGGUAUCAAACAGGAUUAGAUACCCCAGUAGUC